rnacentral:rRNA from 1 species
AGAUUGAACGCUGGCGGCAUGCCUAACACAUGCAAGUCGAACGGCAGCACAGUCUAGCUUGCUAGGCAGGUGGCGAGUGGCGAACGGGUGAGUAACGCGUAGGAAUAUGCCUUAAAGUGGGGGACAACUUGGGGAAACUCAAGCUAAUACCGCAUAAUCUCUGAGGAGAGAAGCUGGGGACCGUAAGGCCUGGCGCUUUAAGAUUAGCCUGCGUCCGAUUAGCUAGUUGGUAGGGUAAGGGCCUACCAAGGCGACGAUCGGUAGC